CACUAAUAAAGCUGUCUGAUUCUGGAUUUUGCUUUUUGGAGAGGUUUUUGAUUAUUAAUUAAGUGUCUUUGUUCAUUAUUGGUCUUUACACCUGUUCUCUUUUUUUCCUGAUUCAGUCAUGGUAGGUGUAAGGAGACCUUUUACCCAUUAAUCCCUAUCCUCAAAUUCCAGUGCAUAGGCAAAUUUUCAUCUACUUUCUAUCUCUUUCAAUUGACAUAUUCUGAGGAUUUCAUAUAGAUGUAAGCGUACAAAAUAUUUUUGGCAUAAUUUUUUUCACUUUGCAUGAAAAUUUUUAAGACUAUUUUUUAAUAUUUAUUUUUUGUUUUUUUAGAUGGACAUAAUAUCUUUAUUUUAUUUUUAUGUGGUGCAGAGGAUUGAACCCAGUGCCUCACGCAUGCCAGGCGAGCGCGCCGCCACUUGAGCCACAUCCCCAGCCCUUUCAUGAAAUUUUAAGAUGCUUUGGCAUCUCAUAAUUCCUUGCUCAUAAAAUGAGUUUGGAAGUGCUUCCUCAAGGGGGCUGGUCCAGUCAUUCCCUGUCCCUCGGUUCCUUACCAAUGACCACGAUGGCCUCCAAUACCGCAUGAUCUACUCUUAGCUUAGUGCCCUUUGGUGCUGCCAGCCCUGCCUUCCCCAUGAAGGCUUCAACUCCACAAAGAGACUUCAGGUGUGAAGACUGUGGCUGAUAUACUAAAACAUGUACAAUUUACUACUAUUAUAACAUUAUAAUGUUAUAUAUUGUCAUGUUAUUAUAAUUUUUAUAAUAAUAAAGAAUGUACAGACCUGCACAGGAUGAAGAGGAUAGGAAGGAUGAAUAUUUCAUGGGGAGUGCAUUGUUUCAUGAUAAGAAGACUGUGUCUUUCAUAUUCUUAAUGCAUAUUGAAUUCUGCACAUUUUUAGUUUGUUUUGUAUUAUUUUGUUUUUUGGUGCUGAUUUAACCCAGGGGUACUGUACCAAAAGCCAAAUUGCCAGCACAUUUUAUUUGUAAUUCUGAGUUAGGGUCUCACUGAGUUGCUUUUGACCUAGCUACUGUGCUCGGGCUGGUCCUGAACCAACCAUCCUCCUGCCUCAGCCGCUGUAGUUGCUGGGAUCACAGGUGUGCAACACCAAUACAGACAUGCAGUUUACUCCUAAAAAAUGUUACUGUUUUUUGAGUAAAUGCCCUUAACAAUGAAACCCCAGAACUUACUGUUCGUGUGACUGGAAAGGGAUAAAAUUUAAUGAAUGCAGUUUUAUAUAAUUAAAUAUUAUUUUAUUAUAAAAUUAUUUAUCAAUUUAUUAAGAAAUAAAAAAUCCCCACUUUUUGCCCAUGAGAGCAUCAUUGAUGACUGGGCAGAUCACUUAAGGUCCCUGUCAUGAGUCUCUCUGUGGCCCUUUCAGUCUGUCUCACAUUCUCCCACACAGGUGCAUUUAUAUAUGUUUCUGUGGCUGUUUACACCAUAGAAAAAUGGUGACCUCGGUACAGACAUCAUGAAUGCAUCUUUUUUUUCCAGGUAACAGUUUCCUUGACCCCUUUGCUUGUGGGCACAGACAGACCCACCUCAGCAGGUGCACAGCAUGUCUGCAGCAGAUUUUUCCACCAAAAGCCUCCACAUGGAUAUUAGUGAGGACUCCAAUUCCUUGCUGUUCCAACUGUGAUAUGAAGGAGUCUUUCAAACACAUCUUGUAAAAUGCUACAACUCCAUAGUUGGAAUUUAUCCCUGGCAUUAGCCAUUCUAGGCAAAGGUACACACUUCUAGAACUUUGAUGGUUGUUGACAAAGAGUUCUGUGUCCAUGGACGCAUCUCCCAGGGAAUCUACCAGAGUCUCUGCCUCCAAAUUUUCACUAGUUCUGGUCUUCAACCAGUCAGUCUGAAGGAGGCAAAUGCUACCUCAGUAUCAUGUAUUUUGUAUGGGUUCAUUGGGAAGUUGAAUGUCUGUGACAUUUUCUAACCAAUGUGGUGAUUUUGUUUUGAAUUGCAGGAGUUUGUUUUUGUCCUAGAAGGAAAGUUGACUCAGGAGGUUUGGGUAUCCCUAGGAGCAAUAGUCAUUUCCUUUGUGGCAUGUGACACUUAUGUCACAGAAAGGUAGUUCCCCGCCCAGUGUUAUAAAAGCAUUUACUGUGGGGCUUUACUUUUUAUAUAACUUUGACAUAUCUGGUUUUUCCACUUCUAACAAAACAAAAAUGUACCCAAUCCCUCAAUAGUAUGUGGCUAACGGAAAUCUUAGUGCACUGAUGUGAAAAAUUCAGAAUAGGCAUCUCACAGGGACAGAAGGAUGAAUGAUCACCCAGGACCAGAGGAAGGGAAGGGAGAGGGACUGCUUAUGGGUAGAGGAUGAGGAAAUGGCUGUGGACCUAAACAGGGGUGAUGGCUGCCUGACAUUGAAAAUGGACUUCAUGGCACUGAACUAAGCAUUUCAAAGUGAGUAAAAUGUUAAAUUUUAUUUAAAAUUAAUGAUAAAGUGAAAAGAAACUAGUCAAAUAAAAAGGAAAAGGAAUAAAAUGUCAAGGGAGGGGAAGGGUCACUGUGAGAUGGGAGCAGGUUCAAGAUGCAGCUCAGAAACUGGCACUAGCUUCUGGAGGGUCUGCACUAGUUGGCCAGGUCUAGUCCAUCCCCAUAAUCUCAGGCCCCCAUCUUCCUCACCUUCGGGCUCUGCCUCAGUGGUUUCUAGAUACUCCAGCAGGUGUGGGAAUCAGUGGCCUGGCAUGUGGCCCUGGCUGUUCACUGUGCUGCUGGACAGUGAUCCAGACAGGAACCAGGAGGGAUGUGGGUGGGCCACAGCAGGAGAGGCCUCAAAAGUGGCGGCAGCUCCCUGCAUUACGAGAGUUAUCCCAGGAGUAACUGAAAACCAUCUAUUCUAGAGGAGUAGAUGGAAGUUUAUCUUCAGCAAGAGGGUCCUGUAUGAGUCACCCAGGCUGUCAUCACACAGCCCUGAGCGUCUGGAUGAUGGUGGUAACUGUUUCCCUUCUGGAAUGUGGGGCAGCUCAGGGAGGGCAGCUCCUGUCCACUCAGCCUGCGGUGUGUGUUCCUUAUUGGACAGUGUAGCAAGAGUCUCCUGAUGUUUUGGCUCAAUACAGCUAACUGUGUAAUAUUUGGAGAGAAUGUGGCAGGACAGCCAGGCCACUGCCACAUGGACAACUGGCACUGGAGUUAAAAUGAAGUGAAAUAUUUUGUCAGAAUGGAGAGGAAGUGAAGUGAAACGAUGACAAUGUGGCUUUCCAGAGGUUUCCACCAAUAUGUGGACGGUGACCUUGUACUUGGUGAAGGCCAAGGCUGGGCACAGAGUAUGGGGGUGGAUGAUGAGUUGAAGCCUAGUUCCAUAGGGUACAGAAUUGUGGUCCUUCCAUCCCUCAAGACCUGUAGGGAGGUGGCCUUUGGGCUCCAGAUACCCCUCUGUUCUUCUGUGCCCUGCAUGUGGAGUCCCAUUUGUACCCAUUUUCACCCUGAGAUUAAGCUGGUGCCUCCUCCUCACUGAGACAAACUUGCACUCUGCAUCUCCUCAGUGGUAAUCUGCCAUCCCCUCCCCAUGAGUGCUUGAGUGUAGACUGGCUUUAGUGACAUACUUGUAACCUAUAGAGUAUGACAAAUGGCAUGUGGUAUCAUUUCAGCAUGAUUUACUUGACCUUUUGUGCUCUGUCUCUAUUAUUUUCUUCAUUUUUCCCUCUCUGCCUCCCUUGGAUCUCUGGCUCUGGGGAAGCUGCUGUUCUUUCAUGGUGCCCUAAGAGAGGCUUAUGAGUCCUAGGACAGAGUCCUAAGAUAGUGCCUGGCAGCUGGCAGGAAGCCCCCAGCCCUACCUGAAUGUUGUUUAGGUCAUUUUUGCCCCUGGUGAACUCUGUUCCCCACUUCCAAUACAGACCCUCUGUCACACAGGCUUCUAUCCUGGGAGAACAAGAGAUGACACUGGGGGCCCAGGCUUCACCUGUGUACUCCCUUUCCCCACCUGUCAGCUUUGUCCUUGGGUGACCAUGACAGGAUACCAGGCUCACAAUCUCCCACCACCUAUUCCUGCCUCAUGUUGCCCUCACUCAAAAGGAAAGGUGUGGGGCUACUCAGGGGCCUUUACUGUGUGGACUGGCCUGGAUGGACCUGCCCUUGGCUAAUUGGUAUCACCCAUUGGUUCCUCCUCAUAGAUACCCUGAUGUCUAGAGCAGAGUCAGAACCAGCAUAGGACCCUUUGUGGGAAUCUGUCUUUGUGAUCAUCCUGAGUCUGGUCCUUGAGAGGUGGGAUAUAGCCCCCAAUUCAACUCUCAUUCUGGGGCCUCCUGAAUCCACCCAUGACCAUGGGAAGUCAGGAUACAACAGAGCAUGUCACUCCCUUCACUAUAUGUUGGUUUCUUUCUAUGAAAACCCUGAUGUUUCCUGGGUAGCUGCUGAACCAGGGUAGUACUUUGUGCCUUAGGUUGUGGCUUUGAGAUGUCCUGAGGCUGGGUCCUGGGAUAGGGGAAUGUAGCACCAGAGACUGCUUGGCUGUGGGGUAUCCUGAGGCUUUGGCCUUAGAAACUGAGAGGUAACUAACAUCCUUCUGCAUCCCCGAUGUCUGGCUGAGUGAGCUAGGGAGAGGACUGUUGCUGUAAUGUAUGUGCCUGGGUAUUGGAGUUUCUUGAGUUGCUUGGAUCUGUCCCAUUGAAGUGAAGUCAUGUCUUUGGGACCCUAACCUGACUCCCUCUUCUGAUGAGACCACAUACGUCCCUCUGGGCCACUGUCUGCUCUUCUCAGCCCCUGUAUAUUUUUGUAUGCACAUACAGUAUCUCCAUCCUUGGCCCUUGAAUUUCUGUGACAGUCCUGGGUACCUGCAGUGUCUCAGCUCCAAGGAACAUACCUGGAUUAGUUCCACCUUCUCUUCCUGACCUCUCCUGUGACCCUGUUCAAAGCAUCAUAUCUUUAGGGCUUCCCUAGUCUCCCUGCACACUGGUGGUCAUCCUAGCAUCUGUUUCCGAAUGACAUCAUCAGGCAUGUGUGAGAAACAUUGUGGGCUGCUGUCACAUGUAGGUAAUGCACAAAGUUGGAGGUGAAAUAGUGGAAGGUUUUGGAUGUGGCAAAGAAUAUAGCUAAAAAUAAGUCUGGGCUCCUAUGUUGUGACCUUGGAAAUGUUGCUUCCCUUCUUGGCCUUCUCCUGUUUGCAUCAUGAGAAGGUGGAAAUUCAGUUAAUUCAGAUAUCUUCAUGGUCCAUAAGCCUUCUGAAUGCUUCCCAUUAUAGAUUCAGAUCUAAGGACCUCAACUUGGCCUUUGUGGCUGGACCUAGUGCUUAAUAGCUCCCAGUUACCCUCACCCUGGUGUGCACAUCCUAAGCAAUCCCCUCCCUUUGAGUGCUUGAGUGUGGACUGGAUUUAGUUGUUCACUCCUUAGCUAUGGAACAUGACCAAUGGCAUAUGAUGUCACUUCACCAUGAUUUACUUAACAUUUUUGCUCUGUCUCUAUUAUUUUCUUCUCUGCCUCCCUUGGAACUCUGGCUCUGGGGAAGCUGCUGUUCUCUCAUGGUGCCCAAAGAGAGACUUAUGAGUCUUAGGACAAAGAGAGCAACCCAUGAGGAGAUAUUAGGUCUCUGUCCUGAGUCCUUCCAGUAACCAUGGGACUCAGUGUGGAAGCAGAUCUUGCAGUAACUGAACCUCAGGUGAGUCUGUAGACCAGGCCUCCUGAGAGACAUCAGGAGCCUCCAGCUGAGUCCUAAAUUUCUGUUUCAUAGAACUGUGAGACCAUAAAUGUUUGUGUUGCAUCCUUUAAGUUUGGGAUAGCAUUUUCCCAGAGUAGUGUGUCAGUGGUAUAGUCUAGAAGGCCCUAGAAUUUGUCCUUCCAUCCCACUCCUCCUGGGCUUUGUUCAGCCCCACUGGUUGCUCUUGUAACUUCCUUUCUGACUGAACUCACUUUUGACUUUGACUUCCUGAACAGUUGAUCCUUCCCUCUGGCACACUGUGCCCAGGGUUGUGCAGGGCUGCAUCCCUCUCAAGUCUAUGCUUGAGUGAUUUCAAGGCCUCCGUUUUAUGAAGGAGCCAAGGACACAAAGGAGCAGGACACCAGUGUCCAGGGGCAUUAGGAGGGACUGCAGGAGCUGCCCUUUCCCCUGCUUACAAGUCUUUUUCACUAUGGCCACUUCCAGGGUCUUACCCUCCAACAAGGUGGUCCUUGACUUGUCCAAGGAUGAGUGGGUCAGUGCUCUGCUACCUUGUGUCCUUGCCAAGUUUUUGGCUGGCUCUGUAGGACUUCCAGGAGGCUGACAGCAUUUGGCAAGGACCUGUGUGCACCAGGGGCUAGAGGUUGGUGAGCCUUGUGAUCCUUGGAGUGAGCAGCGGCAAACUCCAUGUUAUGUCAGGAAGGACACUGUGGCUUCUCAUAGAUCCCCUCCACAAUAGGCAGGUGUUCCUAGAGAAACAUUCCCAUGCUGGUGGUAGAGGAGCCAGGAACAGGCAUACCCCUUGUUUUCUUUAGGGAUUUCCCAGCCCUGAAAUCCUGCCAUCUCUCCUCCUUCCACACUGUGGAUCCUGGAUAUGCUAACUGGAUAUGGCUAGUCAUGUCCCCUGGAGGUACUGCCUCUAGCAUCUUUCUCCUUUUCCUUUGUUACUUCCCAGGGUCCAUCCCCACUGUUGAAUACCACUUUGGCCCCCAGUUGUGGUGUUAUUUUGUGUAUGUGUGUGUGUGUGUGUGUGUAUGUGUAUGUGUGUGUGUGAGUGUGCACACACAUUUCUUCAUACAUCCUUGGAAUGUUUGCGGUUCUCUUUUUUUAUUUUUUAUUUAUUUUUUUAUGCCUAUUUUUUAAAUUUUAUAAAAAUUGAAUCAUAC
rnacentral:lncRNA from 1 species